UACGGAGGGUGCAAGCGUUAAUCGGAUUUACUGGGCGUAAAGGGCGCGUAGGCGGAUAGGAAAGUCAAGUGUGAAAUUUCGGGGCUCAACUUCGGAGCUGCACUUGAAACUGUUUAUCUAAAGAGGAAUGGCGGAGAAAAUGGAAUUCCACGUGUAGCGGUGAAAUGCGUAGAUAUGUGGAAGAACACCGGUGGCGAAAGCGGUUUUCUAGCUAUUACCUGACGCUGAGGCGCGAGAGCAUGGGGAGCAAACAGG
rnacentral:rRNA from 1 species